AGCGGCUACAUCUUCACCGAACGAGUUCAAACUCGGGAAUUAGAGGUUUUUUUUUCAAAGGCUAUAUUAUAUGGUUUAAAUCACAAAAUGUUGGUUGUAUUUCAAUAUAAACCUCACCACCGCGGUGAUACGGGAGAGGGGUGUUUUUUAGCUUCAUACGCCCCAGCAGACCCUCCAAAUGAACCUGUGGGGGGGGGGGGGACAUUUUGUAUACGCACGGUGUGAGUAUCAAGGAAAUGCGUUUUGGUGGUUUCGACUUCCAAUCACUCUCUCCCCAAUCGUUUUUAUGCUCAGAUUUCGUGUUUUCACAGGCGAUUCCGGUUUUAAAUUUCCUUGCAAUACUCUUGAAAUAUGGUAGCGGUAACGCGUCAGCUGGAGGACUCUAGUGACGGAGCUCGGCAGCUAUUCGAGACUCUUGUG